UUGACCUCAAAUCAGGCAG
rnacentral:rRNA from 1 species